CNGCNGUCGACGAUUCCUACGGGAGGCAGCAGUGGGGAAUUUUGGACAAUGGGCGCAAGCCUGAUCCAGCAAUGCCGCGUGCGGGAAGAAGGCCUUCGGGUUGUGAACCGCUUUUGUCAGGGAAGAAACGGCUCUAGCCAAUACCUGGAGCUAAUGACGGUACCUGAAGAAUAAGCACCGGCUAACUACGUGCCAGCAGCCGCGGUAAUACGUAGGGUGCAAGCGUUAAUCGGAAUUACUGGGCGUAAAGCGUGCGCAGGCGGUUAUGCAAGACAGAUGUGAAAUCCCCGGGCUUAACCUGGGAACUGCAUUUGUGACUGUAUGGCUAGAGUACGGUAGAGGGGGAUGGAAUUCCGCGUGUAGCAGUGAAAUGCGUAGAUAUGCGGAGGAACACCGAUGGCGAAGGCAGUCCCCUGGACCUGUACUGACGCUCAUGUACGAAAGCGUGGGGAGCAAACAGGAUUAGAUACCCUGGUAGUCCACGCCCUAAACGAUGUCAACUGGUUGUUGGACGGCUUGCUGUUCAGUAACGAAGCUAACGCGUGAAGUUGACCGCCUGGGGAGUACGGCCGCAAGGUUGAAACUCAAAUGAAUUGACGG
rnacentral:rRNA from 1 species